UAGGGAAUCUUCCGCAAUGGCCGCAAGUCUGACGGAGCAACGCCGCGUGAGUGAAGAAGGAUUUCGGUUCGUAAAACUCUGUUGUUAGAGAAGAACAGCGCAUAGAGUAACUGUUAUGCGUGUGACGGUAUCUAACCAGAAAGCCACGGCUAACUACGUGCCAGCAGCCGCGGUAAUACGUAUGGGGCAAGCGUUAUCCGGAUUUACUGGGUGUAAAGGGAGCGUAGGCGGCAGUACAAGUCGGGAGUGAAAACUCGGGGCUCAACCCCGAGACUGCGCUCGAAACUGUACAGCUAGAGUGCAGGAAGGGCAGGCGGAAUGCCUGGUGUAGCGGUGAAAUGCGUAGAUAUCAGGAGGAACACCGGUGGCGAAGGCGGCCUGCUGGACUGUAACUGACGCUGAGGCUCGAAAGCGUGGGGAGCGAACAGG
rnacentral:rRNA from 1 species